GCAAAGACUCUGAUCAAGCCUACCUGCUCUGCUACAGGGACUGAUGUCUGAUUUCAGAGCAAAACUAUCUCACCCGGAACAUUUUUGGGAUCAAAUCAUAAAGCAUCUGUAUUUGCUGAACUCUUUGGACCUUCCUGCCACAAUACUGCGAUUCCAUAGUGUGGAGAAGGGUGAAUCUCUUCUUUGUCAAAAGCAGAAGUAUUUUAUUCAAAAUACAUGGGAGUAUCUCCAGAAACUUUUCUUCAAAGUCAAACAGCAUGGUUAAUAGGUAAUAAUAUCUCU
rnacentral:lncRNA from 1 species